CCUACCUGCCCGCCGCGCCGGUCCGGGGCUGCCCGCGAGCGCCGCGCCGCGUCCCGCAGGCCACAGCUCCAGGUAGCGCAGAGUCGCGCGGGCUUUGCUUCCAGCCACGAUCCUCAGGCCGGCGCCUCCUAAAUAGCUAGGAUCACAUACAGGCCUGGGGACCAGGCUUGUCUUGGGCACUAACAAAAUCCCCCGUCUCACAGCAGCAGCAGGCAGAGCUGCGCAUGAGAAAUUCUACCUAGACAAUCAGGACCUGGGACCAACCAAACCUACCAGGACUUUGUGGCUGAGGGAUACUAUGCAUUUCAUACCCAAGCACCUCCAGAAACUGGACUAAAACACCAAAGUUCCAACUCUAUUUUCUUACCUGUUGCUCAGAAGCACCGUGUACCGUGUAUACUGCUCAUCGUUUCCCAGACACUGCUUCCUCACCCGGGUCUGGACAUCCUCUGCCAAGAUGGUCAGAAACUUCUCAAACCAGCAACUCCAGGAUCCUGUCUUUGGAAUGCAUCUUAGGCCUCAGCUGUUGACAAUAGAAUUACUAGAGUCUGGGGGACAGCAAUCCCCAAGAAGCUGAACUGCCCAAAGCUUGGGUGGGAGGCCUCAGAGUCAGUGCUGUGCCUAGAAUGUGCUAAUUUCUGUGUUGGACCACAAAGAAGGCUUUCCUUUGUUG